rnacentral:lncRNA from 1 species
UGGGACACUGGUCUUCUCCUUCCUUUGGACUCAGACUCAGACUUAGACUGGAAUUUACAACAUCAACUCACCUGGGUUUCCAGCUUGCCAACUUCAGAUCUUGGACUUCUCAUCUUCUAUAAUCAUGAUCUGUUCCAGAAGGAACUGCUGGAUCAAAGCAUGUGCGAACUCUUAAGGCUUCUGAUACAUAUUGCCAAAUUACCACUCGAAGGACUUACCAGCAGUGAAUGGGAGAACCUCUUCCCCAGGGUCCUGACCCACCCAACCAUAAACACACAAUAAGGAAGUAAGGGGGAUGGGGGAGGGAUAUUAAUGUUUUAAUUUGUUCUUUUGUUUAUAAGUAAAGAAAAAUUUGUUUAUUCCUUAUGAUUAUUUGUAUUUUUUCUUUUAUAAAUACUCUUUGUUUAUUAUUCAAAUCAGCAUGCUCUUCUCCUUUUUGUUUGCAAGAAGAGAGA